GCAUUAGUUUAUCCAUAGACUACUACUCCAUACUCCAGAUCCACUAUAUAUACAGAUACAAAUAGAAAAAUACGCGACUCCAGCGCUCUGGACUAGAAGGCCUGUAUUGGUCGAUAGAGUCCGGUGUAUCCGCACAGCCGAGCUCGCAGCGCCGGAAUCAGGAAGGCGGCCAGCGAGAUGUCCUUCAGCAGCUCGGCGCACUCGCAAACCAGCAGAUACAUCUUGUCGCCCUUCUGCGAGGUGCUCUUGUGCAGGGCGAUGCGCCUCAGGCCCGCGGCACGUGGCAGGUACCUGGAAUGAGUGGAGCAGCAGUUAGACUUCGGAUGAAAGCCACAUGCACUGGUGUAAAGAACAUUUAUAGUUGGGAGAUAUACAGGGAGAAAUCAUUGCUGCACACAAUUUCGUCAGGUGUACCUGUACAACAUCCGUGCUCCGGUCCAGUAGAGCCAGUUCUUUUCGAAUCGUUCGCCAUCGUCGCCCUCGAAAACCUGCGGAAUUAAAAUUGAAUUUUUCAUGAUGGAACCCAAUCCCGCUUGGACUACCACUACAAUCGCACCUUGAACACGCUAAUAAUGUAGCCGGUGGCCGCGGUCUGCGACUUCUUGAAGCUGCCCACCUCGUUGGAGGGCAAAACCAACGGCGGCCGGCAAAUGGCAGCCACCUCGCUAUACAGAUCCAGUGUGUGGGCGGCAGUGUAUCUGGCAAUGAAUCGAGAAACGAGAUUGGCGAAUAAAUGGGCGAAUGGGCAGGCCUGAUUGGAGCACUCACUUGAGGGCCUUUGGCUCAAACUUGGACAGCGAGGAGACGCGCAGGCCAGCAUAGAAGCUGGAAGGAUCCGUUUGCAGCGUAUUGAUCAGAUGCUGUGUUGCCUCUACGUUCCACUCACAGCUCUUCUCCAUGUUGGCCAGCAGCAUUCCGCCCACUGCCGUGUUGGCCUGCUGCACUUCGGUCACCAAUUCGGCGGCAAUGGAGCGCUGCUUGAGCAGCGGAUGCGCUAGUGGCGACUCCAUUACCGGAUCGAUGGCCUCCAGGGGACUCAUCAAAUGCACCAGAAUGCACAGCUUCGGAUCGGAGACUUCCAAGACACUUAGAGGGCUUGUGGCCUUACCAUCGGCACUUAAGGCGGGCAGCUGAAAGAGGAAUAUUAUUAAAUAUUUAGUAUCUUUCAAAUACGUUAUUCAGUUUACAAUGGGGGUUG
ensembl:ncRNA asRNA:CR45271 antisense RNA:CR45271